GUUUGAUCCUGGCUCAGGAUGAACGCUAGCGGCAGGCUUAAUACAUGCAAGUCGAGGGGCAGCAGGACUGUAGCAAUACAGUUGCUGGCGACCGGCAAACGGGUGCGGAACACGUACGCAACUUACCCAAAACUGGGGAAUAGCCCGGGGAAACCCGGAUUAAUACCUCGUAACAUAAUGAAGUGGCAUCACUUUAUUAUUAUAGCUCCGGCGGUUUUGGAUGGGCGUGCGCCUGAUUAGGUAGUUGGCGGGGUAACGGCCCACCAAGCCUACGAUCAGUAACUGGUGUGAGAGCACGACCAGUCACACGGGCACUGAGACACGGGCCCGACUCCUACGGGAGGCAGCAGUAAGGAAUAUUGGUCAAUGGACGCAAGUCUGAACCAGCCAUGCCGCGUGAAGGAUGAAGGUCCUCUGGAUUGUAAACUUCUUUUAUAUGGGAAGAAAUCCAUCUUUUCUUGGGUGGUUGACGGUACCAUAGGAAUAAGCACCGGCUAACUCCGUGCCAGCAGCCGCGGUAAUACGGAGGGUGCAAGCGUUAUCCGGAUUCACUGGGUUUAAAGGGUGCGUAGGAGGGCAGGUAAGUCAGUGGUGAAAUCUCCAAGCUUAACUUGGAAACUGCCGUUGAUACUAUCUGUCUUGAAUACCGUGGAGGUGAGCGGAAUAUGUCAUGUAGCGGUGAAAUGCUUAGAUAUGACAUAGAACACCAAUUGCGAAGGCAGCUCGCUACACGAAUAUUGACUCUGAGGCACGAAAGCGUGGGGAUCAAACAGGAUUAGAUACCCUGGUAGUCCACGCCCUAAACGAU
rnacentral:rRNA from 1 species